AACGAACGCUGGCGGCAGGCCUAACACAUGCAAGUCGAGCGAGAUCUUCGGGUCUAGCGGCGGACGGGUGAGUAACGCGUGGGAAUAUGCCCUUCUCUGCGGAAUAGCCUCGGGAAACUGAGCGUAAUACCGCAUACGCCCUUUGGGGGAAAGAUUUAUCGGAGAAGGAUUAGCCCGCGUUGGAUUAGGUAGUUGGUGGGGUAACGGCCUACCAAGCCGACGAUCCAUAGCUGGUUUGAGAGGAUGAUCAGCCACACUGGGACUGAGACACGGCCCAGACUCCUACGGGAGGCAGCAGUGGGGAAUCUUAGACAAUGGGGGCAACCCUGAUCUAGCCAUGCCGCGUGAGUGAUGAAGGCCUUAGGGCUGUAAAGCUCUUUCAGCUGGGAAGAUAAUGACGGUACCAGCAGAAGAAGCCCCGGCUAACUCCGUG
rnacentral:rRNA from 1 species